ACACGCAUGACACACUGCAUAUCAAUAAGCGGAGGAAAAGAAACUAACAAGGAUUCCCUUAGUAACGGCGAGUGAAGCGGGAAGAGCUCAAAUUUGAAAUCUUCAAGGUUCUACCUUGACGAAUUGUAGUUUAUAGAAGUGUUUUCUGUUAGUGGAGUGGCAAAAGUUCUUUGGAAUAGGACAUCAUAGAGGGUGAGAAUCCCGUAUUUGGUCAUUCCUCCUAGCGUUGUGAUACACUUUCAACGAGUCGGAUUGUUUGGGAAUGCAGUCCAAAAUGGGUGGUAAAUUUCAUCUAAAGCUAAAUAUUGGCGAGAGACCGAUAGCGAACAAGUACCGUGAGGGAAGAUGAAAAGAACUUUGAAAAGAGAGUUAAACAGUACGUGAAAUUGUCAAAAGGGAAGCGUUUGACACCAGUGUUGUUUUCCCGAAAAUCAAUUACGAAUGUUUUGUUUUUAAGAGAGUUAUGACUUCAUCGGCUUGCUCCUUUCUUUAUGAAACUUUCUUAAUGCACUUUUCGGUUAACAAGUCAACAUCAAUUUCUUUUGUUGUAAAAGGGUAUGAGGAAGGUGGCUUUCUUUUCGGAGAAAGUGUUUAUAGCCUUGUGCCUCUGCAAUCGGAGAGAUUGAGGUCUGCAGCGUAGAUCCUUCGGGGUUAGAUACAUUUGUGCUAAGUUAUAGCUUUUCAUAGACAACUUGUUGACUAUGUUUAGUCUUGUAGCUUACUCGCUUAUGCUAUUUUACCUACGCUUAGGAUGUUGACGAGACUGUCGAUCUC
rnacentral:rRNA from 1 species